CAGACCUGAAAUCAGGCGAGGUUACCCGCUGAACUUAAGCAUAUUAUUAAGCGGAGGAGAAGAAAAUAACUAUGAUUCCCUUAGUAACGGCGAGUGAACCGGGAUCAGCUCAAAGUGGAAAUCAACUGCUCUUUCCGAGCUGUUGACUUGUAGCCUCGAGAGGCGUUACCAGUGGAAGCGCAGGGUUAAGUUUCUUGGGAAAGAACAUCAUAGAGGGUGAGAAUCCCGUCCUUCCCCUGCGUUUUUUGUUCCACGUACGGUACGCUUUUAUAGAGUCGCGUUCAUCGGGAUUUGAGCGCAAAAUGUGUGGUAGGUUUCACAUAAAGCUAAGUACUGGCGCGAGACCGAUAGCAAACAAGUACCGUGAGGGAAAGAUGAAAAGUUCUUUGGAAAGAGAGUUAAAAGUGCCUGAAAUUGCUGAAAAGGAAGCGAUUGGGACCUUUUUGAUUCCAAGAAGUGCCGCCGGUUUGCCAUCUAUCCCUUUGCCUUCUCUCUCUCACCAGGUUUAGGCUUUUGGUUUCUUGAUGUAUUUCC